CUCAGAGCGAACGUUAGCGGCGCGCCUAACACAUGCAAGUCGCACGAGAAAGGGGGGCAACCCCCGGUACAGUGGCGCACGGGUGAGUAACACGUAGAUGACCUUCCCUGGAGUGGUGGAUAACCUGCCGAAAGGCGGGCUAAUACAGCAUGGGACCACACGGCUUUGGCCGAGUGGUGAAAGCGGGCCUCUGUUCACAAGCUCGCGCUCUGGGAUGGAUCUGCGGCCCAUCAGCUAGUUGGUGAGGUAACGGCUCACCAAGGCUACGACGGGUAGCUGGUCUGAGAGGAUGAUCAGCCACACUGGAACUGAGACACGGUCCCAGACUCCUACGGGAGGCAGCAGUGGGGAAUCUUGCGCAAUGGGCGAAAGCCUGACGCAGCGACGCCGCGUGGGUGACGAAGGCCUCGGUUGUAAG
rnacentral:rRNA from 1 species